ACAAGCGGUGGAGCAUGUGUUAUUCGACGCAACGCGAAGUAACCUUACCAGGGCUUGACAUCCCCUGACCGCGUAUGAAAGUACGUUUUCACCCUCGGGUGACAGGGAGACAGGUGGUGCAUGGUUGUCGUCAGCUCGUGUCGUGAGAUGUUGGGUUAAGUCCCGCAACGAGCGCAACCCCUACGUUUAGUUGCUAAACGCGUGAAGGCGAGCACUCUAGACGAACUGCCGUUGACAAAACGGAGGAAGGUGGGGAUGACGUCAAAUCAUCAUGCCCCUUAUGUUCUGGGCUACACACGUGCUACAAUGGCCGGCACAGCGGGAAGCGAGGGGGCGACCUUGAGCGGAUCCCUCAAAGCCGGUCUCAGUUCGGAUUGCAGUCUGCAACUCGACUGCAUGAAGUUGGAAUCGCUAGUAAUCGUGGAUCAGCCAAGCCGCGGUGAAUACGUUCCCGGGCCUU
rnacentral:rRNA from 1 species